rnacentral:rRNA from 1 species
GUGGGGAAUAUUGCACAAUGGGCGCAAGCCUGAUGCAGCGACGCCGCGUGGGGGAUGAAGGCCUUCGGGUUGUAAACUCCUUUCGCUAGGGACGAAGCCUUUUAUUGGGUGACGGUACCUGGAUAAGAAGCACCGGCUAACUACGUGCCAGCAGCCGCGGUAAUACGUAGGGUGCAAGCGUUGUCCGGAAUUACUGGGCGUAAAGAGCUCGUAGGUGGUUUGUCGCGUCGUCUGUGAAAUUCCGGGGCUUAACUCCGGGCGUGCAGGCGAUACGGGCAUAACUUGAGUGCUGUAGGGGAGACUGGAAUUCCUGGUGUAGCGGUGAAAUGCGCAGAUAUCAGGAGGAACACCGAUGGCGAAGGCAGGUCUCUGGGCAGUAACUGACGCUGAGGAGCGAAAGCAUGGGUAGCGAACAGGAUUAGAUACCCGUGUAGUCC